AUGGUCAUGUUCUGCUGUUGCUACCCCUCCAGCACCUCAGCUCUCCUGUUAGUUCUCCUCAGCCUCACCCCCCUGCUGGCCCUGGCUGCCCCUGCACUUCAGCAGAGAUCUUUAGUCAGCAGCAGCAUCGAUGAUGCUCUCAACUUGGCAAAAGAGGACCCGGGGGCAGCAGAAGGAGCUGCUUGGACACAUAGGAAAGUGGACAGCCGGCUCCAGAAACCCUUGGGACAGGAGCAUGUCUCGGAUAUGGACUCUGCCAGUUCUCCAGCCUUGGUUCUGCUUGAGGCUCUUGACCACCCAGUUAGAGAGAAGAUGACCCAGGGGGAAUCUGAAGAAGGACUCGUGAUAGAGGCAACAAGGAAUCAUGGAGACCUUGAGCAGGACACAGAGAAAUUGUCAGAGGUAAUACAGCAAGGGGAGGAAAAUUGGGGACAAGAAAAGCCAAAGGAUGAAGUGAAUACGGCUGAAAGAACAGAUGGGCGGAGUCAGUCUAACGUUGCCAACCCCCUCCAGCGCAAAACCAGGGGCUAUUUCCAAAAUAUUGACCUCGGACUGCAAGAUAAUGAGAUCCUCCCACCUCUAAAAGGCUAUAAAGCCUAUAACCAGCAACUGGCCCAGGUGACCAAGAAGCUUAAGUGGCAGGAGGAGCGAACGAGAAACCCAUCCCAGCUUGACAGAAACUUCAUGGAUGAUUUCGAUUUUGUGGAAGAGGAGGAGGAGAUUCUUACCCGCAAGGAGGAGGAGGAGGCACGGGCACGGGCAGAGCAGGAGGAGGUGAGGCGGCAGGAGGCAGAGGCACAGGAGGCGCGUGAGGAGGAACAGAGAUUGGCAGACAUCGCCUCUGACAUGCUUCUGGACUACAUGGGCAGGAAGCAGAAAGCAUCAUCCUACAUGAGAGACAUGAAUGCGGCGGCUCUUCUAAACAACGUGGCUGAGGACAAGCGCUCAAACGAGGUGGAGGAUAAUGACGACGAUGAUGAGAUGGAUCCCCAGACCAUUGACAAGUUGAUAGAGAUUUCCAGCAAGCUGCACUUGCCUGCUGACGAUGUGGUCGAAAUAAUCAGCGAUGUUCAGGAGAAGAAGAAAAAGAGGAAGGAUUUACCCCCGAGCAACACCCCUCGUUUCCGCCCUCUAGUUCCUCUCAAAGCCAAGCCGAGGCCUCAGGCAUAUCAAUAUCCUAAGUCACCUAAGAAAUCCUCUUAUACAGUCGAUCCAUAUAAGAAAUGGUACAAGGAGAAAAACAAAGGCAAGCUCAGCAAGCAGGACUACUGGUUUAAGCCGCAGAAACAGUUUCUGGCCUAUCCUUCGUUCCCCUAUUAUCAGAAGCCAUAUCGAGCCUAUUACCCGGUCUUCUUCCCACCCACCAAGCCGCGGUUCUAUACAAAUCCCGCUCUGUCAUUUGACUACAACUUUGGGGGCUCCAUGGGGUACGGUCUGAAGCCUCCAAACCGUAGGUACAGAAACCGACCCAAGGCCAGGGACUGGAAAUGGGCACAAGCCCCGCAACGCUCCCAGAGCCCAUAUCCACAACCGGACACUGUCAUAUCUAAUUACAUUCUCCCCCAUCCCCGAACUUACCAGGCUCUCCCCAUGCCCAAACCACGUUCUCCUCCAAGCGGGAGAGUACCUUCUUACAUCUACCCACCAGACUAUGUGUACGAUGAGCCGGAGUCUCCACAGGAGAGUGAUGAAGAACUGGAGAACUUCAUUGAGAAGAUUUAUUACAAUCGUAGGUUAUUUUAG
ensembl:lncRNA